AACGAACGUUGGCGGCGUGGAUUAGGCAUGCAAGUCGAACGAGAAAGCCACCUUCGGGUGGUUAGUAAAGUGGCGAACGGGUGAGUAACGCGUGGGAAAUCUGCCCUACAGUUGGGGAUAACACUCCUAACGGAGUGCUAAUACCGAAUGAGACCACGAGAUCGCAUGGUCUUGAGGUUGAAGGUGGCCUCUCCUUGGAAGCUACCGCUGCAGGAGGAUCCCGCGUCCCAUUAGCUUGUUGGCAGGGUAACGGCCUACCAAGGCUUCGAUGGGUAGCUGGUCUGAGAGGAUGGUCAGCCACACUGGGACUGAGAUACGGCCCAGACUCCUACGGGAGGCAGCAGUCGAGAG
rnacentral:rRNA from 1 species